CUCUCUCUCUCUCUCUCUCUCUCAUACACACACACACACAUUUCGAUCUAGGGCUCCCUUCCUUUUUCCGUUUUCAUCUGUCUCCUUCUAUAAGCUUCCUCUAUUUUCAGACCCUCCACCUCCAUACCUACAACAAAUGCAAUCCAUAUAUAAACAUGAAUAUAUAUAUAUAUAUAGAGAGAGAGAGGGGUACCAGUGGGUUUGGGUUUGAAGUAGUAAGAAUAAGAGCAAGGUCCAUCGUUACUUACCUCCACCGCCAUUAUAGGUUUGGGUUUGUUAGAUGCACCACCACUGUCGGAUUCCCUUCACCGCUGAGGUCGAUGCUUCCGAUGGUGACGAUCGCCGAACCUCCAUCUCCAUCCAUGUAUCUAUUCGUACUUCACAAAACCCUCUUCACUGCACAAAAAAGCCCUAAACCCUUUAAAUUCAGGUCUGCCAUGGCGAAGGGAACAGACGCCAGAGUAUGGAGGUUCGACGACUCUAGCAUCGCGGCAGUAACGAUGGUGUGGAGGAGGAGGCGACAAUGACUACAUCGCUAUGGAAAUAAGAGAGAGAGAGAGAGAGAGAGAGAGAGAGAGAGAAAGAGAGAUGGAGAGGGCUAUAAUAGAGGGGUAUAAUAAUAAUUUCAAUUAGGGGGAAACGGGAACAGGGUUAGGGAACGUAUCACCAUACCUGGCCCGAAAAUUGUUGAGGAUUCAUUUUCAAAUACCAUCCCCGGCCUGUCGGGGGUAUUUUUUUGGGAAAAGACCGUUCUAAUUGAGAUUGGGGGGCCGGGUCCCCAUCAGGUCGGGUUUAAAUUGCCAUCCCUGGUGACUUCAGUCGAAUUGAGAAGUUGUUCAAAUUUAAUUUGAAUUGUAGCUUGAGUCGAAUUGAGAAGUUGUUCAAAUUUAAUUUAAAUUGUGUUGACAUCUAUUCAGGUCUGCUUAAAUUUGAAUUGUAGCAUGAAGCUGCAUGUUUAA